GGCCCCAUCGUCUAGCCUGGUCCAGGACACCAGAUUUUCAUUCUGGUAACAGGGGUUCGAAUCCCCUUGGGGUCA
rnacentral:tRNA from 1 species